AUACGGAGGAUGCAAGCGUUAUCCGGAUUUAUUGGGUUUAAAGGGUGCGUAGGCGGAUGAUUAAGCGUGAGGUGAAAUGCCACUGCUCAACAGCGGAACUGCCUCGCGAACUGGUUGUCUUGAAUGCUCCUGCCGUGGGAGGAAUGUGUGGUGUAGCGGUGAAAUGCAUAGAGAUCACACAGAACACCGAUUGCGAAGGCAUCUCACGAAGGGGUGAUUGACGCUGAGGCACGAAAGCGUGGGGAUCAAACAGGAUUAGAUACCCUGGUAGUCCACGCAGUAAACGAUGAUAACUAACCGCUGGGUCGUAGUGAUUCAGUGGCCAAGCGAAAGCGAUAAGUUAUCCACCUGGGGAGUACGACCGCAAGGUUGAAACUCAAAUGAAUUGACGGGG
rnacentral:rRNA from 1 species